rnacentral:rRNA from 1 species
UGCUUGGGAAACUGAUAGUCUAGAGUGAGGGAGAGGCAAGGAUGGAAUUGGUGGUGUAGGGGUAAAAUCCGUAGAUAUCACCAAGAAUACCCAUUGCGAAGGCGAUCUGCUGGAACUCAACUGACGCUAAGGCGCGAAAGCGUGGGGAGCAAACAGGAUUAGAUACCCUGGUAGUCCACGCCCUAAACGAUGUACACUAGUUGUUGGGGUGCUAGUCAUCUCAGUAAUGCAGCUAACGCAUUAAGUGUACCGCCUGGGGAGUACGGUCGCAAGAUUAAAACUCAAAGGAAUAGACGGGGACCCGCACAAGCGGUGGAGCAUGUGGUUUAAUUCGAAGAUACGCGAAGAACCUUACCUGGGCUUGAUAUCCUAAGAACCUUAUAGAGAUAUGAGGGUGCUAGCUUGCUAGAACUUAGAGACAGGUGCUGCACGGCUGUCGUCAGCUCGUGUCGUGAGAUGUUGGGUUAAGUCCCGCAACGAGCGCAACCCACGUAUUUAGUUGCUAACGGUUAGGCCGAGCACUCUAAAUAGACUGCCUUCGUAAGGAGGAGGAAGGUGUGGACGACGUCAAGUCAUCAUGGCCCUUAUGCCCAGGGCGACACACGUGCUACAAUGGCAUAUACAAUGAGACGCAAUACCGCGAGGUGGAGCAAAUCUAUAAAAUAUGUCCCAGUUCGGAUUGUUCUCUGCAACUCGAGAGCAUGAAGCCGGAAUCGCUAGUAAUCGUAGAUCAGCCAUGCUACGGUGAAUACGUUCCCGGGUCUUGUACUCACCGCCCGUCACACCAUGGG